rnacentral:rRNA from 1 species
GAGGAAUAUUGGUCAAUGGACGCAAGUCUGAACCAGCCAUGCCGCGUGCAGGAAGACGGCUCUAUGAGUUGUAAACUGCUUUUGUACUAGGGUAAACGCUUCUACGUGUAGGAGCCUGAAAGUAUAGUACGAAUAAGGAUCGGCUAACUCCGUGCCAGCAGCCGCGGUAAUACGGAGGAUCCAAGCGUUAUCCGGAUUUAUUGGGUUUAAAGGGUGCGUAGGCGGUUUGAUAAGUUAGAGGUGAAAUACCGGGGCUCAACUCCGGAACUGCCUCUAAUACUGUUGAACUAGAGAGUAGUUGCGGUAGGCGGAAUGUAUGGUGUAGCGGUGAAAUGCUUAGAGAUCAUACAGAACACCGAUUGCGAAGGCAGCUUACCAAACUAUAUCUGACGUUGAGGCACGAAAGCGUGGGGAGCAAAC